AGAGUUUGAUCCUGGCUCAGAUUGAACGCUGGCGGCAGGCCUAACACAUGCAAGUCGAGCGGGGUUUUCGGACCUAGCGGCGGACGGGUGAGUAAUGCGUAGGAAGCUACCCGAUAGAGGGGGAUACCAGUUGGAAACGACUGUUAAUACCGCAUAAUGUCUACGGACCAAAGCGUGGGACCUUCGGGCCACAUGCUAUCGGAUGCGCCUACGUGGGAUUAGCUAGUUGGUGAGGUAAUGGCUCACCAAGGCGACGAUCUCUAGCUGGUUUGAGAGGAUGAUCAGCCACACUGGAACUGGGACACGGUCCAGACUCCUACGGGAGGCAGCAGUGGGGAAUAUUGGACAAUGGGCGCAAGCCUGAUCCAGCCAUGCCGCGUGUGUGAAGAAGGCCUUCGGGUUGUAAAGCACUUUCAGCGAGGAGGAAGAGUUGUGUGUUAAUAGUACACAGCUUUGACGUUACUCGCAGAAGAAGCACCGGCUAACUCUGUGCCAGCAGCCGCGGUAAUACAGAGGGUGCAAGCGUUAAUCGGAAUUACUGGGCGUAAAGCGCACGUAGGCGGUUUUUUAAGUCAGAUGUGAAAGCCCCGGGCUCAACCUGGGAAUUGCAUUUGAAACUGGAAAACUAGAGUGUGUGAGAGGGGGGUAGAAUUCCAAGUGUAGCGGUGAAAUGCGUAGAGAUCUGAAGGAACACCAGUGGCGAAGGCGACUUACUGGCUUAAAACUGACGCUGAGGUACGAAAGCGUGGGUAGCAAACAGGAUUAGAUACCCUGGUAGUCC
rnacentral:rRNA from 1 species